CAAAAAAAAAAAAAAAAAACAAAAGCCCCACCAGUGACUUCUAAAAUUUACACCCUCUCCUAAAAAAUGGGAGGGGAAAAAAAAAAUAAAAAAAUUUACACCCUAAAACGGAAGGCACCUUUUAACUUCUCAUAAUUUCUCUCCGUUAACUCCUCUUCUUUUUCCCAGCGUUACCUUUUGCUCUUGCUUUUCCCACAAUCUAUAUUCAUGGCUACCAUUGCCAAAGUGAAGAACAGCAAGAUGUACUCAUGGCUACCAUUGCCAAAGUGAAGAACAACAAGAUGUACUUAACAGAUUUUAUAGAAUUUCUAAUUCGAGGCAAUACUGCCCUCUUAAAGAGGUAUUGCGAAUCUUAACCAUGAAAUACUUGAACCAAGAAAUUCCCAUGAUUGUGAUGUGUUGUUCAGAAAUUGAAGAAUUGAGGCUGUUUCCCUUUUGACAUGAGGAUUUGAGUAAAGAAAUUAAGAAUGGAAUAAGGAAACAAUUGAUUAUCAUCAUUUUUCUGAAUUCCGAAGUAGAGUUGCAAAGAAAUUAAGGAAAACUCCUACUAUUUAAAUUCACGACUUAAUUAAAAUUGAAUCCACCAUCUACAUCAAAUACAAAUGACGUGUGCUUACUGGAUUUACACCGACGAUCGGAUACAAUUGCCGUCUCUGCCUCUGCUCGCCACAACAGGCCCUCGAAACUAAUACGGUGAUUGGAAAUGCUGUGAAGAUUGCUGGGGCUAUUAACUAUGUGCAAUCCUUCCACCACCGAGUUGAGUUUAUCUCAAAGAAGUUAUCUGAAUUCGGGAAUGGACUUCAACGUGAAAUGUCUUCUCUCCGAGCAUGCAAAUCACUCAAAGAAUAUGUUGUUAUGAGUUUUUGACUUCUUGAAUAUAAUUUUUAAUGGAUUUUGUGACAAUUUCAGAUGAUUCAAUCCAUUGGAUUGUUUCAUCAUACUAACAGAAGAAAGUUGCAGAGUGCGGAAUUUGGAGUGAUGAGGCUGGUUUAGAAGAAAAUUUAGUUCCUCCAGAUCUGUUGAGAAUAACAAAAGCCAGGAUGUACAAAAGAGCUCUUUAGUUCAAACGUUAUUAUGUAAUCGGCAACAAGUCAAGAAUAUUACGCUGUCGAUGAAAAAUGGCAGAGGAAAAUUCGGCUGCCACCAUUUCCCAAUUUGCUAAUCCAUGGGAUCUCACGAAACAUGUACAAUGAGGACAAAUGACUAGAAAUUGAGCAGUUUGGUCAAGUUUUGGAAGCAAGGACCAAGUGUGCACGAGAAGGAGCAAAGAAGGGAGCUAGACGAAACAAAAAAAACUAAGAAAUCCCUCCUAGAGCGUCGUCCAAAUCCCUUCUAGGGCGCCGCCAGGGGCGACGCCCAGGGCAAUGCCCACUCACAAUGAUCGGAUAAGGCUCAGGACACAACGAAACUGAAAAACCCUUCUUGGGGCGCCACCCAGGCUAGUUUGUGCGGCAGUUCUCCCGGUUUGACCGGGAUUAGGAUUACUUUUUUUUUUGCCCUAGACUAUAAAUAUACGUUUUAUCUAGCCGUAAACGGUGUGUUGGGAUAUUCGAAGACUUGUAUGACACCGUUUUAAUUUCUCUCUCUAGGUUUAUUUUAUUUUUCAUCUUUUCAACCCUAGAUUAUUCAUGAAUUCUUCUUGUUCAUUGAGAAUCAUGAGUAGCUAAACUUCUUAAUUCUAGGGUUGUGGCGAAAGACAUGAUAGUUGGUUUGGCGACAAUUUCUACCAAUUAAAUUUCCAUAUUUUGGAUUUUUUUAUUUAUUCUUGA